rnacentral:rRNA from 1 species
GACGAACGCUGGCGGCGUGCUUAACACAUGCAAGUCGAACGCUGAACCCGCUUCGGUGGGGGAUGAGUGGCGAACGGGUGAGUAACACGUGGGCAACCUGCCCCCGGCUCUGGGAUAACUCCAAGAAAUUGGGGCUAAUACCGGAUGUGACCGCUGGCCUCAUGGUCUGGUGGUGGAAAGGGUUUCCGGCUGGGGAUGGGCCCGCGGCCUAUCAGCUUGUUGGUGGGGUAGUGGCCUACCAAGGCGACGACGGGUAGCCGGCCUGAGAGGGUGACCGGCCACACUGGGACUGAGACACGGCCCAGACUCCUACGGGAGGCAGCAGUGGGGAAUAUUGCGCAAUGGGCGGAAGCCUGACGCAGCGACGCCGCGUGGGGGAUGACGGCCUUCGGGUUGUAAACCUCUUUCAGCAGGGACGAAGCGAAAGUGACGGUACCUGCAGAAGAAGCACCGGCCAACUACGUG